rnacentral:tmRNA from 1 species
GGGGCUGAUUCUGGAUUCGACGGGAUUUGCGAAACCCAAGGUGCAUGCCGAGGGGCGGUUGGCCUCGUAAAAAGCCGCAAAAAAAUAGUCGCAAACGACGAAACCUACGCUUUAGCAGCUUAAUAACCUGCUUAGAGCCCUCUCUCCCUAGCCUCCGCUCUUAGGACGGGGAUCAAGAGAGGUCAAACCCAAAAGAGAUCGCGUGGAUGCCCUGCCUGGGGUUGAAGCGUUAAAACGAAUCAGGCUAGUCUGGUAGUGGCGUGUCCGUCCGCAGGUGCCAGGCGAAUGUAAAGACUGACUAAGCAUGUAGUACCGAGGAUGUAGGAAUUUCGGACGCGGGU